UCUGUUUUUAAUUUCCAGUUAUGUCCGUGCUAACUCGUACGUCCUGCCACCCCCACCCCGAGCGAUCUCCCGAUCCUCGAUCCCCUGAUCACGCUCCUCUCUCCUGCGUCUCUUCCCCACGUCGCCCGCCCCCUUUCUCCUCCCUGCACGUCGUCUCCCUCCCUCGCCUCCAUCCUUCGACCUCCUCCGCGCCGGGGCGCCGGCGCCACCUCCCUCCUCCGCGCAAGCCGCUGCCGCCUUCCUCGUUCGCGGGAGCCGCCGUCCGGGAUCCGACGAAAUCCGCCCAACAGCCUCCACCGCCUCCCUCCUUCUCUCGCCACGCCCCCACCCUACCCUCUCUUGACUCCCUCCGUCGCCGCCGCCGUGCUCGCCCCGGCGCCGCCGCACUUCGCUGGAGACGUGGAAGGAGGACCGCUGCUUACCCCCCCCCCCUCCCCCGUGGAAGGAGGUCGCAGUCUACCGCCGCCGCAGGUGCUCCUCCCGCCGCAGGUGACUCUUCUUUCCCCUCUUCUCUUCUCCUUUCUCUCUUCAGAAGAAAACGACCACGGUGGGUCGCGACUCGCGACGGGGCGGUGGCAACGGCGAACGAGGCCCAUGCCACUCAGGAGAAAGGCGGAUCGCCUCUGCCACCACUACGUCGCCCACCACCUAUCUCCGGUCCGUAAUCCUCGAGCUCCUCCAGUACCAUGUCGAUCUGAAUCCCCCCUGUGCCUUCCUUGUUGGGGCACUGUCGUGGCAUACCUCGCUGACGGCUAACAAUCGAGCACGUCUAGGUAUUCUUGUCCUUGUUUGCAUAUCACGUGUUUGGUGGAAUGUGUUGGUGGCUUUGACCAUGUUUAGAUCAUUACGGAACAUAGGUCUGAUGCUAAUUAGAUGCUUUCUCAGUAGGGACUAGAUUUAUUUGUAUAUUCAGCAAUGUAUGCUGAUUUGAACUGAUGAUGUUUCUAUAGAACGUUACACUCGGACGACUUCAAUGGCCCAAUUAAAUCAUUUUUCUUCUCCCCUGAGGCCAAUGAUUAUUGGCUCAUGGAAAAUAAAAAGGAAGACCAUACUGAAAGGAGGCGAAGUGUGCUUGAUAAGCAACAAGAUGAGGCAUUGCAGGGGAUGAGAUCGAUAAUUUUUCUACACUUCUAAAUGCAUUGGGGGCCAGGAAGCUAAGCUCCCAUUAAUGGAUAUAAAAUUGGUAAACCGUCUCACUGUUAAAUGUGCCUUGCAAUAUUUUGGUGGUAGGUAUUGUAACAUUAGCAUUGCAGGCAUUAUGGAUGACUCCCUCCGAUCCAUGUUAAUUAGCAUUGCAGGAAACUGAGUACAAUGUUCUUUCACGCUCAUAGAUCCACUUGGCUACAUCAUGUUUAUUGAGCAUGCCUUUUUUUGUGGCCAAUGCAUGCAUAAUCAUAUGACUCUUUACGGUACAUCAUGUUUAUUGAGCAUGCCUUUUAUUUGUUUCCUCAUUUUGACCAAGUGUCCUUGUGCUCUAAUAUUUCAAAAAGUUUAGUUGGGCCCCCAAGUGUCCUUUUAUUUGUUUCCUCAUUUUGACCAAGUGUUCCUUAGCAGGUUCUUGUGCAAGAUAUACAUAUUGCUGUAUUUUCUAUGCUACAAUCGACAACAGAAGCGACGGAGAGCUAGCCAGAAUCAUCAGUAUCUACAAAGUGCAAAAGCGCCAUUCAAAUAACUGGGAAAGUGGUAUCAGAUCCUAUCACUGUAAAUAAUCUUAGUUCAUUUUAGAUAGCACAGAUGCUAUACAAUUGAGCUGUUGCACAAUACUCCCUCCAAUCGUAAAUUCUUGUCAUGGUUUUAGUUCGCGGAGGGGGUAUCUCUGAGAACAUUUAUACACAAGGUAGUAAGAAAAAUAGGUGAAACAAAUAUGAGCAGGUUAUUAUAUUGAAGUACAGAAAGAAAAAACCAUGUUAUAGCAUAGGCGUAAAAUCCUGCUCUUUUUGUAGAAGCCUAGAAGGUCACAUGUUCAUAUUAAAAUGAGGAGAGAUAACAUAGCGAGGUUACACAAAUGUUGUCGAUAUUAAAAUGAGGAGAGAUAGCAAAACGAGGGAUAGAAAUCUGAUCUUUGGUCUAAAAAGGUUGCUUGCAUCUCUUGCUUAAGGAUAGACAAACCAGCAAAAAUUUUAUUUGGAUGCUAAUUUAUUUUCAUAUUGACAGAGCAGCCUUUCUACCCUUUUGUCCACUACCAGGUAUUCUCUUUGCUAAUUUGGUGGUGUCUACUUGAGGUUGUUGUUUGAGGUUACAUUCACUAGCAAGAUUUAUUGUUGCUACCUUGCAAGGUCCUACCGUUUUAUCCUGCUUCCCAACACCUCUUUGGUAAGUGGUGUGUGUUAUCAUACUAGGCUUUGCAGUUUUAUGGUCAAUAUUGGUUAGGCUUUGCGUUGCAAGAAAAUCUGAUUUAACUCAAACUCUUCUGCCUCAAAUUACAAAUUCUUGAUUUCAUUUCAGAUGGGGCAUGCUUGGCAUUCUUUACCAACAUAGGUAACUAUCAUGCAAUCUAUUGAUUCUCACAUGUGUUCAAUAACCCAAAGAUGACAUGGAUAAUAGAAUAAAGAGUUCUAAAUAGAUGUAUGCCUCCUGCACUGUAGGAUGAGAUCCUUAGUUUUCAGUUAUCAAUAGCUCCACUUGAUAAGAACUGUUCUUAAUUGACUGGUUGUGUUCCUCUAACACUAAUCAUAUACAUUUACCUGCUGACUUAAUUUUAUUGAUUUGUUUCAUUUGCACUUUUACAGCUUGGUAUAGCAGUAGGCCAUCAUGUAUCUAUGAUAUUGGUUAUCUCAAUGUGUCAAGGUUAGAGAUGGACUUUACUUUUUCUGCUUAGGGUACCAUCGUUGGCUCCCACAUAGAAAUAAAUACAUUAAUAAUUUGAAAGAAGAAGCACAUAACUACAUUUCUUUGUUCUGGAGUCUUGAUAAGAAGCACAAUUUUGAAGGCCCCAUAUAUUACUAUGUGUUCAAUUCUCUUUUGCCUGCACUACCUGUGCUCCACAUAUAUUGGUUGGUUCUGAUGUUGGAUCCGGUAAGCUCCAUCCCUUGCAAAAUUACACACUCCAAUAAUCCUCAGUACACGAGCAUGCAAAAUCUCAAGAUGCUUGUCUUAUUUGGUUGCAUUUGCCCAUGGAGAUAAAGUUCUAUUUAUUUCAAAUGUUGCUUUGCACGAGGAUAACUUAUCUGAAUUUGCUGUUGUUUGAGAUUGUUCUACUUUGCAUGCAGACUCUGAAAACGAAUUCAACAUGAAGAUUAAUUGUUGUAACACCUUCUUUAGAUGUUGCCGUGAUGAUAUAGGAGAACAUCAAACACCACUAUCCAGCUUAGUCAUGUGUUAUUUUCCUGGAUUGUGGGAUUAUGUAUUGUUUCCCUCUAUAACUUAUUACAGAAUUAUAAUUCCUUUUGGAAGCUGUAUAACCUUUGAUAUUUAUUUUGGAUUCACAUGUGUAUAUAGUAAUUAUGUUCUUUUA